CAGAAAUUUUAGCCUCUGACACCUACAGUUACAGCAAACAAUAAACACAGACUAACUUCUAGGCAAAUAAACAAACAAGAGAUGGAGCACAUUCAAGUCACAGCAGUGGCCAUGAUAGCUAGAGUUUCAGAAGCCAUUCUGUGACCUGGAGCAUGGAAAGAAAGUGCUAAGAUGUUGAAACAGAGAGAGGAUGACGUCCUGUGAAUGUGCUUCAAGUCCUUAUCAGCUUGUUACUCUGGAAACUUGGUGAAUGUAUUCCGAGCCUCAGUUUUCUUCUCUGCAAAAGAUGGCCAAUAAUCCUGGAGUUUUGGAUGGUAUGGGGAAGAAGAAAAUGCCUGAUGCAUCCCUGCCCUCCUCACAUUUUUAGAAGAGACAGAGACUUGAUCUACUUCUUAAGAAAGGGCAAGACUGAAAGAAAAUUCAGGUCCAUCUCAGUGGCUCCCCACCACAGGUGGAGAGGCUACUACUAAUCAGACUGAUGCACACUACCAGUGGGUGCCUUAAAAGAACGACAGACUCCCAGCCUCUCUCUUGGCCUGUGGACAUAGACCUGUUUGCCUCACCUGGCAGGUCCAGCCAGGCGUCUUCUCUCUCAGUUCCAGACAAGGCAUCUGAUGGUGUGGAUCAGCCAGUUUAGAUCCAGGGUCCCUCUAUUUGAAAUUCAGGGCAAAAGGGGUAGAACAAGCCCCCAUUUCAGCUGGAGGAAGUGUGGCUUUUGGCACAGUUUUAGCACCAAUAGAGUUGAUUAUUUUGAUCAUCAUUUGGCAAUAGUUCCUUAUAUCCUUUUUUCAAGCAGAUUUCUGGACAAGAGGAACCCAGUCAGAACCUUUUCCAGAAGUAUUAAGUAACAUAGUAAAUAUGACCGCACCUGCUUUGACACUCCUCCUAUUGACAAGUGAGUCAAUUUCUCCUCUUCUUUAAUCUGGAGGAGCUCUGAGACUGCUUUGACCAGUGGAGCACAUGGCAGAAAUGAUGUUGCUCCAGUUUCUAGGCCCAGACUUUCAGAGACUAGUAGCUUCCACUUCCUGUCUCCUGGAUGCUCAUUCUGGGUUGGGGGGGCGGUGGUGCCAGCAGCUAUGUAAGAAAUCUCACUGAGAUCACCAUGCUGGAGGAAGCCCAGGUCAACCACAUGGAGACACUGUACAGAGGGAGCUGCUCCAAGAAUCCUCAACUGAUCCAGCCAUCUCAGCCUAGGGGUUGCAGUCAGGCUUUGAAUCCCAGCGACAUUCAUUCCGCAACAUACUAACCACAUC
rnacentral:lncRNA from 1 species